rnacentral:rRNA from 1 species
AGAGUUUGAUCCUGGCUCAGAAUCAACGCUGGCGGUGUGCCUCAGACAUGCAAGUCGAACGCGAAACCUUCCUUCGGGAGGGGAGUAGAGUGGCGCACGGGUGAGUAACACGUAGGUAAUCUACCUUUGGGUGGGGAAUAACAGCCGGAAACGGCUGCUAAUACCGCAUAAUGCAGCGGCUCGACAUCGAGACAGUUGUUAAAGCGGGGGAUCGCAAGACCUCGCGCCUAAAGAGGAGCCUGCGGCAGAUUAGCUUGUUGGUAAGGUAAUGGCUUACCAAGGCUACGAUCUGUAACCGACCUGAGAGGGUGGUCGGUCACACUGACACUGAAUAACGGGUCACACUCCUACGGGAGGCAGCAGUCGGGAAUUUUGGGCAAUGGGCGAAAGCCUGACCCAGCAACGCCGCGUGAAGGAUGAAGUCUUUCGGGAUGUAAACUUCGUAAGAAUGGGAAGAAUAAAUGACGGUACCAUUUGUAAGGUCCGGCUAACUACGUGCCAGCAGCCGCGGUAAUACGUAGGGACCAAGCGUUGUUCGGAUUUACUGGGCGUAAAGGGCGC